rnacentral:lncRNA from 1 species
UUUAAAUUUGAGUACCAGUACUGGACAUUCAGAAACUCAAAAUUUUUAACUUUUCAUCGUGAUGCCGACUCGAAAUAUGACUUCAUAUAAUUCAACACAUUUAGACACAAUAAAUACAAACAAAGCACUGGUAGGUCCUACACUAUUUUUUUAUUUUUAUUUUUGAGAGAUAAAUAGCACACUACCCACUUCGUUUUAUUUUAUUUAGAAAUAAACUUAGCUGGAAAUGUGAAUUAACUAGAAUUCGAACUUAGGUCUCGGGUACUAACCACCAAACCCUUUGCCACUUGCUCCAGGGACGAUCGGUGGUCCUACACUAUUUUAUUAUAAAAAAAUUAUUCUAAUAAAAGACAAUAAUAUGAAAUGAGGCUCACUGUCUUUUUAAACAUAUGUGAAACCGUACAAAACUUAUUUAAAUUAUAGACCAUUUUGAUUUUACUAUCUAAAGUUUUAAUUUGUUUGAUUUGAGUCAGUUAACAAUACAUUGACUUUAAAAUUUUGAUUCGUUAUUUAAUUAUCUUAGUAUACUUCAUAUUAUUCUCACAAAAAGAAAUUUAUUAAAAAAAUAAUUAGCUUAAAUUUUAAAAUUAUAUUAUUAUUAAUUGAUUUAAAUCAAACAUGAUCAAAGAUUGAAUAGUAAAAUCAAAACAUAAAAAGAUUGAAUAAUCACUUCAAAUGAUUUAU